GGUCGUGGCUCAAUGCUUAGAGAGUCAGACUUAUAACCUGAAGGUUGUGCGUUCAAGUCUCAGGUCCA